AUCUGUUUUUCUCACAUAUAUUGAUCUGUCUAAAAUUUAUUAAGCUUAAAAAUUUGUUGGAGUCUGCCAGUACAGAUGGUUUCACUCAGACUGUUUUCACUUGUGUGAAGCACCAUGCAUAAUAAACUGCUACAUUACUUGUACAGCAUAAUGAAAUAUUAGGUAGUGACUCUGUAGAAGAACAUUCUUCUGUUUAUACUAACACAAAUGUUUUUUCUCCCCUUAGGGUGUGGAAAAACUGUUCAUUGAAUUCAGUCAUGAAGAGCUCUUUGCAUUUUACAACAAGCUUGAGACCAUCCAAGCUCAGCUGGACUCUCUUACAUGAUGUAUUGAUGACCGAGUUACCUGGCAUUUGUGUGCUACUUCUUUUGUCACUGUCAUCAACUACGGUUUCUUAGCAGCAAUGGUAGAACUUCCUGUGGAGUCAUGACAUAUUUUUUAUUACUGAAUGAAAUAAAGCCCAAAUGAAACUCAAA